CUACGUAGGUGACAAGCGUUAUCCGGAUUUACUGGGCGUAAAGGGCGUGUAGGCGGUCUUGCAAGUCAGAAGUGAAAUUCCUGAGCUCAACUCGGGAGCUGCUUCUGAAACUGCAAGUCUUGAGUGCUGGAGGGGAUAGCGGAAUUCCUAGUGGAGCGGUAAAAUGCGCAGAUAUUAGGAAGAACACCGGUGGCGAAGGCGGCUAUCUGGACAGUAACUGACUCUGAGGCGCGAAAGCGUGUGGAGCAAACAGGAUUAGAUACCCUGGUAGUCCACGUCCUAAACGAUGAAUACUAGGUGUGGGGGGACUGACCCCCUCCGUGCCGGAGUAAACACAAUAAGUAUUCCACCUGGGGAGUACGACCGCAAGGUUGAAACUCAAAGGAAUUGACGGGG
rnacentral:rRNA from 1 species